GCAGCAGCCGCGGUAAUACGGAGGGAGCUAGCGUUGUUCGGAAUUACUGGGCGUAAAGCGCACGUAGGCGGUUAUUCAAGUCAGAGGUGAAAGCCCGGGGCUCAACCCCGGAACUGCCUUUGAAACUAGAUGACUAGAAUCUUGGAGAGGUCAGUGGAAUUCCGAGUGUAAAGGUGAAAUUCGUAGAUAUUCGGAAGAACACCAGUGGCGAAGGCGACUGACUGGACAAGUAUUGACGCUGAGGUGCGAAAGCGUGGGGAGCGAACAGGAUUAGAUAACCCCGUAGUCCCUGUCUCUUAUAC
rnacentral:rRNA from 1 species